AUUGAACGCUGGCGGCAGGCCUAACACAUGCAAGUCGAGCGGAUGAAGGGAGCUUGCUCCUGGAUUCAGCGGCGGACGGGUGAGUAAUGCCUAGGAAUCUACCUGGUAGUGGGGGAUAACGUCCGGAAACGGGCGCUAAUACCGCAUACGUCCUGAGGGAGAAAGUGGGGGAUCUUCGGACCUCACGCUAUCAGAUGAGCCUAGGUCGGAUUAGCUAGUUGGUGGGGUAAAGGCCUACCAAGGCGACGAUCCGUAACUGGUCUGAGAGGAUGAUCAGUCACACUGGAACUGAGACACGGUCCAGACUCCUACGGGAGGCAGCAGUGGGGAAUAUUGGACAAUGGGCGAAAGCCUGAUCCAGCCAUGCCGCGUGUGUGAAGAAGGUCUUCGGAUUGUAAAGCACUUUAAGUUGGGAGGAAGGGCAGUAAGUUAAUACCUUGCUGUUUUGACGGUACCAACAGAAUAAGCACCGGCUAACUUCGUG
rnacentral:rRNA from 1 species